ACUGGAUCAUUCUUUGUGGAGGGCUGUUGUGUGUAUUGUGGGAAGUUUAGCAACAUCCCUGGCCCUGCCCACUAGAUGCCUGUACCACCCCACGCCAGGCAUGACAACCAAAAUGUCUCCAGACCCAUGUCCCUGGAGGGAAAAUCAUCCCUGGUUGAGAAUCUCUGAGCUCCGUGUCUAUUUAGCUGCUAUACAGUGGUAAUGAAAGUACUUUUCUAAGCUGAGUUUGGAGGCCUAAUAUUCUGAGGACCAGAAGCAGUCCCACCAGCAAGCCUGACUUCCUCUGUGAUUUCCUUAGCUCACACAUCUAUUGCCCAAACCUAAAGGCUGCAACCAGAUGCGUCUCAACCCAUUUCUACCUAGAACCCCACUUCUGGGUAGGUAUCCAAAAGAAUUGAACUCAGGCUCUGCAGAGGCAUCUGUACCCCAUGUCCAUUGUGGCACUGUUCACAAUAGCCAAGCCGUGGAAACAAGCGGACAGGCCAAGGACAGAGGCACAGACCAAGGAAAUGUGGUGCAGCCACACAAUGGCCUAUUUUUCAGCCUUUGAAAAGAAUCUCCUGCCAAAUGCAACCACAUGGAGGACAUCAUGCUCACUGAAAUAGGCCCUGUCCUGCAUGAUCCACUUAGGCUGUAAAUGAGAACAAGACAAGGAUAUAUCCAGAAGCAUCAUUAUUCCAAGCCAGGCCACCUGUCUCACCAUUUGAUUUCAUCAGAUUUGUUGGAAAUAAAAAUAUGGAUCAACAAAAACCAAUUUUUCAUGCAAAGAUUCUCCACAGAGUGAGUUUUGGCUCCAGAAUGUUCCAGAAUGCAUGCGAUGACCAUCCUGGACACCAAGGAGUCACACUCCCUGCUGAUGGUAACAGCCCAGAGAGGCGAUCUCCUGUCUUGGGAUCUCUGGGCCUACAUGUCAUAGAAGGAGGCCCAGGCGGGUGGAAGCUAUAAGGCUGAAGGAUUCUCGGACCACAAUCCCAGCUUGAAUGGGGUGAGAGCUGGCCUG